rnacentral:tmRNA from 1 species
GGGGGCGUACUGGUUUCGACGGGGGAAGUUGGAGCAAAGGCAGCGAGCCGGGAUCCCACCAGCCCGAAAAACGGUGGAAAAACAAUAACUGCCAACAACGAAUUAGCUUACGCUGCUUAAUUAAGCAGCGCGUCCGCCCGGCCUCGCCUGCGGGCCGGUAGCGGGCGUCAUACAGCAGGCUCACCCGUUUCCUCCUGCUCUCCGGGGAUGAAACGGGAUACCUACGGAGAUAGCCCGAUGAGAGCCUGUCGGCGGGCGCUCUGACGGCGAAUUGAAAACACCGACUGCGCUCGGAGAAACCUUUGUGGCCGUUCUUCCGGACAGGGGUUCGACUCCCCUCGCCUCCACCA